rnacentral:lncRNA from 1 species
ACAGGGGUCAGAAGCCCCUGCUCUGAUGCCAGGAUAGUACGCGUCUCGUUGGACACAAGAUGAGAGAUUGGAGCAAAUGACAAGAAAAAGAGAAGGGGAGAAUUUUGAGUCAAGACUGUUUAUUUAAGGGAGACGUGUUUAAAUUGCAAGCGAUUGCAAUUGUGGAACUGACGAUUUUAAACAAAUUUUCCCAGCAUCCCCCUGAAGUAAAAGCUUGAAAAAUAAAGUCCACCUGGGUGGUGACUGUCAAGACAGGCCCUGCCCCGUGGGCACUGGCUGAGGAAUUUGGUGUAUUCCACACAUGCCGGAGUUUCCAAGGAGGAAACGUGUUUGAAGUCCAAAGAACAAGGACGGCCUCUGCUUGCUAAUCAGAAAAGAAGAAAUGCGUGAGGAUUGAAAUUGGCAACCAAUCUUUGAAAGCCUAGUAGACACCCGAUGCCUUCAACAUGUCUUAUAUGACCCUUGCCUCCAGCCUGUAAGGCUGGAGUGCAGUGGUGUGAUCUCAGCUCACUGAAACCUCCGCCUCCCGGAUUCAAGCAAUUCUCUUGCCUCAGCCUCCUGAGUAGCUGGGAUUACAG